CUCUACUGGUUUCCGGAGACAUGGGAUUGGGGAAGCUCGAGGCCCCAGGAGACCUGGACAGAAGGAGGCCGGUCAAAGGCGCCCCAAAUCCUCCCGUGGGGACAGUACGACACAUUCACCCGCGUUCGGAGAUAUUAAGCUUUCUAUGAGAAGAUGCAAGGUCACAUGUAAAGCUAAACCUUGAUGUCCUCUGAGGACGCUCCAGAAAGUACCGAGGUUUCUGAGUGUCAUAUCCUUUCCUGAACCACAAUUGACAGAAGAUGGGGUUUGAAAGAGGCCAAAGCUGUAGUGGUAAUAGAAGCUCUUCUCACCUCCCUAAGUUGUUACGACUCAUAUUCCUUGACUGACAAGGCCUAGGACAUCUUAUGUGCUUUUCUUUCAUUUGUUCAUUCAUCAUUAUUUUCAACUCCUCUCUGGAAAAGAAUUAACAAAAAUUCACAUCUCUCA